rnacentral:rRNA from 1 species
CCUACGGGUGGCUGCAGUGAGGAAUAUUGGUCAAUGGGCGGGAGCCUGAACCAGCCAAGCCGCGUGAGGGAAGAAGGUACAGCGUAUCGUAAACCUCUUUUGUCAGGGAGCAAUUGGCGCUACGUGUAGCGUUAUCGAGAGUACCUGAAGAAAAAGCAUCGGCUAACUCCGUGCCAGCAGCCGCGGUAAUACGGAGGAUGCGAGCGUUAUCCGGAUUUAUUGGGUUUAAAGGGUGCGUAGGCGGAAUGCCAAGUCAGCGGUAAAAUCGCGGGGCUCAACCUCGCUCCGCCGUUGAAACUGGCGUUCUUGAGUGGGCGAGAAGUAUGCGGAAUGCGUGGUGUAGCGGUGAAAUGCAUAGAUAUCACGCAGAACUCCGAUUGCGAAGGCAGCAUACCGGCGCCCAACUGACGCUGAAGCACGAAAGCGUGGGUAUCGAACAGGAUUAGAUACCCCAGUAGUC